rnacentral:rRNA from 1 species
UACGUAGGGGGCAAGCGUUGUCCGGAUUUAUUGGGCGUAAAGGGCUCGUAGGUGGCCAACUAAGUCAGACGUGAAAUCCCUCGGCUUAACCGGGGAACUGCGUCUGAUACUGGAUGGCUUGAGUUCGGGAGAGGGAUGCGGAAUUCCAGGUGUAGCGGUGAAAUGCGUAGAUAUCUGGAGGAACACCGGUGGCGAAGGCGGCAUCCUGGACCGAUACUGACACUGAGGAGCGAAAGCCAGGGGAGCAAACGGG